GGGGAGAUUCAGCCCCGUCCGCGUGUGUCGGACCACGGGCGGUUGCUCCCGGAUGCUCCCGGCCGCCGGUCGUGCCGCAAGGCACGCGCCGGUGCGAGUCGGGGGCACCGGCCACCCGUGGUUUUCAGGCCGCGGCGGGGUGCACUUUCUGGCCCCGAGUUGGACGUCGCGACCCGUUGGAGGAGUCUUGUGGACGAAGCGGCCUAAGGCCCGGGACUGARACCGGGGGUACUUCCGCUGAGGCGCGGGUCAAAGGUGCCCUCGGACCCCGGUAAGCCUGGCCGCCCUCCGACGGUCUUUGUUAGGGAGGAUAAAGGCCGGCUACCUCAGCGCCUGGCGCGAGGAGAGAGCGUCCGACCCGGUGGGCAAGAACUCCGGGGAAUGAUUCCGGGUGUGCGUGGCUCUCGUCACGCCCCCGGACCCCGUUAGACUGAUAGCCCCCGUGGACUCUCGGACAAUCCACCCACGGCCACUCCAGUCUGCGGCGCUUCAGCUUCGGGUGCUCUCCCGACCCGUCUUGAAA
rnacentral:rRNA from 1 species